GGAAAAGCGUGGUGUACUGAGACUAAAUUCCAAGACAGACUGCCCUCCGGAUGAGAACCUGAAAUCUCUUAUAUAGUCAAAUAAUUGACCAUGUUGAACUUUACCAGACCCCUGUGAUCUUGGAAAACAGCAAAGGUUUUAAGAAAUGCCUCUCACUCCCUUUUGUGUUCUGGAAAGGGGCUUACUGCAAUGAACCACCAGCCCCCAUAGGUCUUAGGGAAAACUCAAAGACGUCCCACUUGUUUACCUAUGACAAGGUCAAGGACAAAGCCCGCAACUUCCCAUUCUCUGUUUCAUCAUCAGUGACCGGCUGAAUGGCCUGUCCCCGUGAAUUAACUGGAACAAAAUAUCUGUUACUCAAAUUCUGGUUGAGAUCAUCCUUCCCCAGGUUCCUGAACUUUGGCCCGCCCUGGGUUUGAAGCUGUCAGCUUAACACAGCUCCUCCUCAGAACCGGCUGGACCGAGGGUAACACAAUCUCCGACCUACUAGUCAACCGGUGGUGACCCUCUACGAAGGGAUACGUUGUGACCACCUGGAGAAGCUAAAGGGAUUUAUUUCUAAGAUCUUAAGUGCUCGGCUGCUGCCGAGCAGCCGAAGGAAGAGGGAGGGGCGGCGACAAGGAGCCCGGCAAGGUCAACUCCGGGACCACCUGGCGCCGCGCGCCGCACGCAGUGAAUGGGCCACGGACCCUCGGCCGCCUACUCGCCUUCACAGGAAGACUCACCAUGGCGCCGCGGACAGGUCGCGGACAGGACGCCCUGGAGUCCCCGGGACCGUCCUGGACCUUCCCUCCCCACCCCGCCGCCCCGAGCCUCUUAAAACAACGCGAGGGACAGAGUUUUCCGGCUCUGACGGAAGUUCGGCCCGCGCGGGACAGGAAGUCCCGCCCCUCUCUCCUGAACGCCGGCGACCCCACGCCACGCAGAGGUGAGGAGACGCAGGACGUCCUCUCCUGCCACUUCCGUGGGUGCUGAGGGUAGAGGCUGGGGGCGGCGCCGACCUUGAGAGCGCGCGAGGGAGGCGCAGGCGCAGCACAGGCUGCCCCUUCUUGGAGCCUUGCCGGAUCUCCGCAGACCUGGCUGUCCCUGAGUCGUCCUUUCACCUGCCUCAGUGUGCCCUGCAGCUCUCCCCUUCCGCAGGGCAGUGGAAUUUGAUCCUGAGACGUCUCUUCACUGUUCCCGCAGACCAGUGGAAACCAGAAGAACACGGAGCAAGAGCAGAGAAACCAGGACAGUUCUGCCUACUUAUGACAUUCCAGUAUGGACGGUUUCCUUUUAUUUAAAAAAAAACAAAAACUAUAUAGAUCAUCGGCUGGGAAAAAAGUGAAACUCCUAUGCACCCCUUAAAUUUGUGUUGUCGGGUUUCCCCGUCCCCCCCCCCCCACCCCCAAAAAAAAAUCUGUGCGCUUCAACUCUGUGCUCUGUGCCUUUUUAUGUGGUCAUAAGGCACAGUCCUGGAGGCGUGCUUGAAGUGGAUAUACAGAAAACCUUGAACCCAGAAACUAGUCUCGCAACUUGGGGAUCCGUGCUUAAGACGUGGCUGUAUCUACAAUUUCAUUUUUAGGAUCUCCUUUUGCCGCUGUCUAGUUUUGCCCUAAAGGUGGAAUUGGGAAGGUAAAGUAGGAAGCUUCCCAAGAAGUCAAAAGUUUGGGCAGGCAGCGGUGGCUAGAGGUGUUGUUGCACCCUGCUUGUCAGGGUACCUGGAGAGCAUGGCAGCCAAUCCACGAAUGGUCGCAGGGCCCUUGGAACCACUUCUGAGCCAUCCGCAAAGAAGCAUCCACAAGGCAAUUGCUUUAUAUUAGAAAAGGGGCUAGAGACUGAGUGUAUGAGUUGUUUUUGACUCUUAAAUUUUCUCUUGGGGAGAGAUGAAUAAUAAUGUGACAGACAAGAGAAAGGACCUUGGAAGCAGCAGGCGGUGGGGUGGGGCUGGGAGAUAGUUUGUGAGACAGACCUGCUGAGAAUCCAUCCAGAACUUCCCCGAGGGUCCUACCUCUGCUGGAUAGGGAUGACGCUGUAAAUAGACAAGCCCCAGGGCAUCUGCAGAUGCUAAGCGUGGUAGAGAAGGACUGGAGUCGUUCUGCUUGUGUAUCUGCGGGAAGCAGCUGCUAUCCUUGAGGAAGAAAAGGUGGAGAAGGAACCUGGCUAUCAGUCUGUCAGUGACAACACACUGUGUGAAGUCUUACUCUUUCAUUUCUGACACUUUGGUUCUUACAUCCGUCCUAAACCUGGCAGCCUCCUUGAGGUUCACAAAGCCUCUCCUCCAUGUGACAGUAAGACAGGAAUUAUUAUCAGGGUGGAAUCCAUUCCUGCCAGAGUAAAACCACGAAAGGAAAUCACAGUCCGUAUUCGUUACCUGCUUAUGAUUUUUAAAAGAUCAUGGGGUUCCUUAUUUGGCAUUUGACAAGUUGAAAAUAACCCUCGGUUAAUAUCCUUUAAUAUUCCAGUUUCUGUUACAGUAUGAAAAAUCUGUUACAAGUGACAUUUUUUUAAAAAGAUUAAAAUGCAUACCAUGUAUGUUUAAAGGCAGCA